rnacentral:lncRNA from 10 species
ACAGCCUCAAGCCGCGUGGAUUCCUUCCAGACGGCCGGAGCCCCUCCCCCGCCUUUCCUACCCGGCCCCGGCGCCGGGCUUCCCCCCGCCUUAGGAAGCUCGCCCUUCCAGCCAGCGGCCCCGACUGUACUGGCUCCGCGGCAGCCUUGGCUCAGGCGGCCAGCGCUGGACAGCGGCCGGGGAAUCCCGUGCUGCGCGGCGCGGCCGAGGGGCGGGCCUGGCCCGGAGAGUACCGCGGCUUCGGCCCUCUGCCGUGCGCCUCGCGCGUUUUGCAUCGCUGAGCGAAGCAGAGACCCUGACACAUUUUUGUUGAAUCAAUUGACAAAAGAACUGACACCAGAUGGCCAAUCAACUCAAGAGAAAAGACAGGGUUUCACUGUGUUGCCCAGACUGUUCUCGAACUCCUGAGCUCAAGCUAUCCUCCUGCCUCGGCUUCCCAAAGUGCUGGGAUUACAGAUGUGAGCCACCGUGCUUGGCCUAACAUCUUUAAAUACCUGUUAUUUCUUACUCCUCUGAACUUCUCACUUUCCCUGAGAAUAAUUUUACCACCUCUUUGUUGGGCAGAAGUGCAAUAGGAACAUCAGAAAGUGCAAGUACAUAAUAACAGAGAAGUCAGUCUCUUUUUCUUCAUCUCUUGGGCAUCGAAAAGAGCAGAUGAUCCAGAUUUGAAAGUCUGGGAAAGCCAUGCUGUGUGAGAACAGGGGCUUGCAUGACAACAGAGGGUUGGGCUUGAGCCCCCAGGGUCUGCAGCA